AAAAUAAUUAAUAAUAGAAAAAGGAAAAGUUUGGAUAUAAAAUGUGCCUUUGAUGAAAAGAAUUGAAUACUUUUAUAUACUAUAUAUUCGCGUUAAUACAAUUUAGGUAUUUUCAAUAUACCAAUUUCUACAUUGAAAUUUUAAUAACAAUAGGAGAAAGAAAAAAGCAAGGAAGACAAAAAAAAAAUACAACUUUGACUUUUUAUAAAAGUACAUUGUGCUAAAUACAACAUUGAAGAAAUUAAA